rnacentral:rRNA from 1 species
CGAGCGAACAGAUAAGGAGCUUGCUCCUUUGACGUUAGCGGCGGACGGGUGAGUAACACGUGGGUAACCUACCUAUAAGACUGGGACAACUUCGGGAAACCGGAGCUAAUACCGGAUAAUAUGUUGAACCGCAUGGUUCAAUAGUGAAAGAUGGUUUUGCUAUCACUUAUAGAUGGACCCGCGCCGUAUUAGCUAGUUGGUGAGGUAACGGCUCACCAAGGCAACGAUACGUAGCCGACCUGAGAGGGUGAUCGGCCACACUGGAACUGAGACACGGUCCAGACUCCUACGGGAGGCAGCAGUAGGGAAUCUUCCGCAAUGGGCGAAAGCCUGACGGAGCAACGCCGCGUGAGUGAUGAAGGUCUUAGGAUCGUAAAACUCUGGUAUUAGGGAAGAACAAACGUGUAAGUAACUGUGCACGUCUUGACGGUACCUAAUCAGAAAGCCACGGCUAACUACGUGCCAGCAGCCGCGGUAAUACGUAGGUGGCAAGCGUUAUCCGGAAUUAUUGGGCGUAAAGCGCGCGUAGGCGGUUUUUUAAGUCUGAUGUGAAAGCCCACGGCUCAACCGUGGAGGGUCAUUGGAAACUGGAAAACUUGAGUGCAGAAGAGGAAAGUGGAAUUCCAUGUGUACGGUGAAAUGCGCAGAGAUAUGGAGGAACACCAGUGGCGAAGGCGACUUUCUGGUCUGUAACUGACGCUGAUGUGCGAAAGCGUGGGGAUCAAACAGGAUUAGAUACCCUGGUAGUCCACGCCGUAAACGAUGAGUGCUAAGUGUUAGGGGGUUUCCGCCCCUUAGUGCUGCAGCUAACGCAUUAAGCACUCCGCCUGGGGAGUACGACCCAAGG